rnacentral:rRNA from 1 species
UAGGGAAUCUUCCGCAAUGGACGAAAGUCUGACGGAGCAACGCCGCGUGAGUGAAGAAGGAUUUCGGUUCGUAAAACUCUGUUGUUAGGGAAGAAAAAAUGUAUAGUAACUAUAUCAAAAGAGACGGUACCUAACCAGAAAGCCACGGCUAACUACGUGCCAGCAGCCGCGGUAAUACGUAGGUGGCAAGCGUUGUCCGGAAUUAUUGGGCGUAAAGCGCGCGCAGGUGGUUUAGAAAGUCUGAUGUGAAAGCCCACGGCUCAACCGUGGAGGGUCAUUGGAAACUAAUAAACUUGAGUGCAGGAGAGAAAAGUGGAAUUCCUAGUGUAGCGGUGAAAUGCGUAGAGAUUAGGAGGAACACCGGUGGCGAAAGCGGCUUUUUGGCCUGCAACUGACACUGAGGCGCGAAAGCGUGGGGAGCAAACAGG